rnacentral:rRNA from 1 species
UAGUCCACGCCGUAAACGAUGGAUACUAGGUGUUCGGGAUGUUUACGUCCUGAGUACUACAGCUAACGCAUUAAGUAUCCCGCCUGGGGAGUACGGCCGCAAGGCUAAAACUCAAAGGAAUUGACGGGGGCCCGCACAAGCGGUGGAGUAUGUGGUUUAAUUCGAAGCAACGCGCAGAACCUUACCUACCCUUAACAUUACGAGACAGCGGCAGAGAUGUCGCCUUCUCUUCGGAGACUCGUGGAUAGGUGCUGCAUGGCUGUCGUCAGCUCGUGUCGUAAGAUGUUCGGUUAAGUCCGGUAACGAGCGCAACCCUUACCCUUAAUUACCAGCAUUAAGUUGGGGACUUUAGGGGGACUGCCGGUGUUAAACCGGAGGAAGGCGGGGAUGACGUCAAGUCCUCAUGGCCCUUACGGGUAGGGCUACACACGUACUACAAUGGCAGAAACAAACCGUUGCGAGACCGCGAGGUGGAGCUAAUCGGUAAAACACUGUCUCAGUCCGGAUUGCACUCUGCAACUCGAGUGCA